GUCCUGGCGCCGGGUGGUGGCCGGGGCCACCGGUGAGAGGCCGUGCUGAGGAUGCAGUUGUCUGUUUCUCCCCUGGGGAUGCCGUUUACUGCACCCACCUCAGGCAUGAGUGGGUUGUCUCUGCCUGGCCUCACUCUCCUCGCAGCGUGGGGGCAAAAAGGGAUGGUUGGAGCACUUACUGCCUGUGGACAGGUGCUGCCACAGCUGAAGCUAGAGAGGCCAGAUUAAAGGUAAAGAAGAAGAAAUCAAAGGCCAUCUGUCCAGGAGCUGCCUCCCGCUACAGGCAAGAGAGAGCCUGUCUCUCUGGGUGAGGAAGGAUCCCCCUUUGUAGUUCUCGGCAGGUCAGACCGCCAGCGUGCACCACAGGGUCUGUGGAGGACAGCCAAGCGACCGGAGUUACAGAAGAGGAGGGGAGGAGAGAAGGAGAAAGAAGCGUCUGAACUGGCAAAUUCUCCCAGCAGCGCCAAGAGCAGCGAGAGCUGCGGUAAGUCCCGGGCCCUCGGGGCCCUGUCUCCCCUCUUCUGCAUCCUGGUCCCUCCCUGCCCCUCCCCUGUACCCCUCUCUUCCC